rnacentral:rRNA from 1 species
AACGAACGCUGGCGGCAUGCCUAACACAUGCAAGUCGAACGAGACCUUCGGGUCUAGUGGCGCACGGGUGCGUAACGCGUGGGAACCUGCCCUUAGGUUCGGAAUAACUCCCCGAAAGGGGUGCUAAUACCGGAUAAUGUCUUCGGACCAAAGAUUUAUCGCCUUUGGAUGGGCCCGCGUUGGAUUAGCUAGUUGGUAGGGUAAAAGCCUACCAAGGCGACGAUCCAUAGCUGGUCUGAGAGGAUGAUCAGCCACACUGGGACUGAGACACGGCCCAGACUCCUACGGGAGGCAGCAGUGGGGAAUAUUGGACAAGGGGCGAAAGCCUGAUCCAGCAAUGCCGCGUGAGUGAUGAAGGCCGUAGGGUUGUAAAGCUCUUUGACCCGGGAUGAUAAUGACAGUACCGGGAGAAUAAGCUCCGGCUAACUCCGUG